UGCCAGACUCCUACGGGAGGCAGCAGUGGGGAAUAUUGCGCAAUGGGGGAAACCCUGAUGCAGCGACGCCGCGUGAGUGAAGAAGUAUUUCGGUAUGUAAAGCUCUAUCAGCAGGGAAGAUAAUGACGGUACCUGACUAAGAAGCCCCGGCUAACUCCGUGCCAGCAGCCGCGGUAAUACGGAGGAUGCGAGCGUUAUCCGGAUUUAUUGGGUUUAAAGGGUGCGUAGGCGGCACGGCAAGCCGGCGGUCAAAUCGCGGGGCUCAACCCCGCCCAGCCGUCGGAACUGCCGGGCUAGAGUGGGCGAGAAGUGCGCGGAAUGCGUGGUGUAGCGGUGAAAUGCAUAGAUAUCACGCAGAACUCCGAUUGCGAAGGCAGCGCACCGGCGCCCUACUGACGCUCAGGCACGAAAGCGUGGGUAUCGAACAGGAUUAGAUACCCCCGUAUCG
rnacentral:rRNA from 1 species